rnacentral:tRNA from 5 species
GCACCAUUAGCUCAGCUGGUAGAGCAGCUGACUCUUAAUCAGAAGGUCCGCGGUUCGAUCCCGCGAUGGUGCACCA